AUAUAGCUGACGAGUCCCAAAUCGGACGAAACACGCGGUUCUAGAU
rnacentral:hammerhead_ribozyme from 1 species